AGAAGCGGUUAAUACUGUGAUCGCUGUGGUCAUCUGGGGAGUUUCACUUGACCAGGAGCUGAGCUCACAUGAACUAGGACCAUCUAUUCUAUUCCUUAGAUUUGCAAAUAUGAAAUAAGGAGCUGCUAAGCUAUUUUGAUUAUGUCCAUUCUGAUUUUUUAAAAUACUACAGAAAAUCCUGCCUGGUGAAACAGGUGUGUAUUUUAAAGACCCAAAGAAACAAAGUUAUCUUAGUUCCAAGUGUAACGUACUGUUUUCUUCCUUUGUGCUUCCAGAUGGAUUUCUGUUCUGUUUUGGCUUGAAGGUCUUGAUACUCUCGAAACUCUUGUUCACAGUACUUCAGAUAUUUGACUUCUCUUUCAAAAUAAUCAAGUAUGCUGUCAUGCUAUUAAAAAAUGACAAAAAAGGGUCAUUACACGCCCAAAGACACAGAACUAUUGCUGAUGAUCUGAACUGUAUUAGGUUAUCUAUAUUGGGAAUAUAGUUAUCUGUUUAUCCAAAUAAUUUGCAGCAAAGCAAUAUAAAGAUGUGCAUUGAAAGCAGUUGAUUUUGAUAUAUAUAUGCAUGGAGUUAAAUAAUUUUUAUUACACUGAUUCUCAGUAGAUCAGGCUUCAGGAACCUGCACUGAAAUAACUAAACCAAUAUAAUAUAAAUAUUAGUGACUGCUCCUGGGUUAAUAAUUCUGUGCCUUAAAUAGUGUAGCUCUAAAACAUACAUAAGUUGGGCAGAAGCAAUGUGUUUCCUCACAUUAUAGCACUUGAUUAGGGCCUACCUUGCUUUGGAGAAAGUUACUUUUACUAAAAUGAGGCUGCUGACCUGGUGCUACAUUGCUACAUACUGUGGUUCUGCAAACAGCAAACCUUUAUGGGACGUUUAUAAACUAUAUAAGUGCAUACAUAAGUUAAAACUGGGAUAGGAUGGGAAGAAGAUCUUGUGAUGUAAAAAUAUCAGACUAGCUAGCAGGCAAGACUGAUAGACUGGAUGAGAUUAAAGCAGUAGCUUGAUCUUGGGGGGGGGGGGGGGGGGGGG